GAAAAUAUAUGUUUCUGAUCUUCCUUCAUUUGAUACAUUGCUGCAAAUGAGGGAGAAGGCAACCAAAAUUGGAUAAACAGCUAUUUCACAAGCUAUCACUAAUCACCUAAAAGAAUCAACACACACCAUGUACAAACAACAUGCAUCCCCUUCCAUCAAACAAGACAGAAAACCCUAGUGUUACAUUAACAUUUGCAAAGACUACAUUCUCAGUUGGGUUAAAAUAGAAAUACAGCU
rnacentral:misc_RNA from 1 species